rnacentral:rRNA from 1 species
GGGGUGAGUAAUGUCUGGGAAACUGCCUGAUGGAGGGGGAUAACUACUGGAAACGGUAGCUAAUACCGCAUAACGUCGCAAGACCAAAGAGGGGGACCUUCGGGCCUCUUGCCAUCAGAUGUGCCCAGAUGGGAUUAGCUAGUAGGUGGGGUAAUGGCUCACCUAGGCGACGAUCCCUAGCUGGUCUGAGAGGAUGACCAGCCACACUGGAACUGAGACACGGUCCAG